UACGGGGGGGGCAAGCGUUGUUCGGAAUUACUGGGCGUAAAGGGUUUGUAGGUGGCUUGCUAAGUCAGACGUGAAAUCCCUCAGCUUAACUGGGGAACUGCGUCUGAUACUGGUGAGCUUGAGUGCAGGAGAGGAACGCGGAAUUCCAGGUGUAGCGGUGAAAUGCGUAGAUAUCUGGAGGAAUACCGGUGGCGAAGGCGGCAUCCUGGACCAACACUGACGCUGAGGCGCGAAAGCUAGGGGAGCAAACGGG
rnacentral:rRNA from 1 species